AUCAGUGUGUGUGUUAGUGGAAGCGUCUGGAAAGGCGCGCGAUACAGGGUGACAGCCCCGUACACAAAAAUGCACAUACUGUGAGCUCGAUGAGUAGGGCGGGACACGUGGUAUCCUGUCUGAAUAUGGGGGGACCAUCCUCCAAGGCUAAAUACUCCUGACUGACCGAUAGUGAACCAGUACCGUGAGGGAAAGGCGAAAAGAACCCCGGCGAGGGGAGUGAAAAAGAACCUGAAACCGUGUACGUACAAGCAGUGGGAGCACGCUUCGGCGUGUGACUGCGUACCUUUUGUAUAAUGGGUCAGCGACUUAUAUUCUGUAGCAAGGUUAACCGAAUAGGGGAGCCGAAGGGAAACCGAGUCUUAACUGGGCGUUAAGUUGCAGGGUAUAGACCCGAAACCCGGUGAUCUAGCCAUGGGCAGGUUGAAGGUUGGGUAACACUAACUGGAGGACCGAACCGACUAAUGUUGAAAAAUUAGCGGAUGACUUGUGGCUGGGGGUGAAAGGCCAAUCAAACCGGGAGAUAGCUGGUUCUCCCCGAAAGCUAUUUAGGUAGCGCCUCGUGAAUUCAUCUCCGGGGGUAGAGCACUGUUUCGGCAAGGGGGUCAUCCCGACUUACCAACCCGAUGCAAACUGCGAAUACCGGAGAAUGUUAUCACGGGAGACACACGGCGGGUGCUAACGUCCGUCGUGAAGAGGGAAACAACCCAGACCGCCAGCUAAGGUCCCAAAGUCAUGGUUAAGUGGGAAACGAUGUGGGAAGGCCCAGACAGCCAGGAUGUUGGCUUAGAAGCAGCCAUCAUUUAAAGAAAGCGUAAUAGCUCACUGGUCGAGUCGGCCUGCGCGGAAGAUGUAACGGGGCUAAACCAUGCACCGAAGCUGCGGCAGCGACACUAUGUGUUGUUGGGUAGGGGAGCGU
rnacentral:rRNA from 1 species